rnacentral:rRNA from 1 species
GUAGGUGGCAAGCGUUGUCCGGAAUUAUUGGGCGUAAAGCGCGCGCAGGCGGUUCUUUAAGUCUGAUGUGAAAGCCCACGGCUCAACCGUGGAGGGUCAUUGGAAACUGGAGAACUUGAGUACAGAAGAGGAAAGCGGAAUUCCACGUGUAGCGGCGAAAUGCGUAGAGAUGUGGAGGAACACCAGUGGCGAAGGCGGCUUUCUGGUCUGUAACUGACGCUGAGGCGCGAAAGCGUGGGGAGCAAACAGGAUUAGAUACCCUGGUAGUCCACGCCGUAAACGAUGAGUGCUAAGUGUUAGGGGGGUUUUCCGCCCCCCUUAGUGCUGCAGCUAACGCAUUAAGCACUCCGCCUGGGAGUACGGCCGCAAGGCUG